AGCCUUUUGCAAAUUAUACGCUGUAUUAGCUUUCAAGGCAGCUAUACAGCAAGAUUAGUUUAAAAUAAAAAUAAGGGAUGAACCGUGCCUCCUAUUAAUUUGACAAAAUAAAGUUCUCACAAACAAUUACUGAACAACUUUACAAACGGAAAGAUGUAUUGCAGCAAAAACAGAUGCCACUUAUAAUUUACCCAGAAUAUGUCACAACACAGGACGUCAAACAGGUGAAAGAAAAGCAGUAUAGGAACCGCCAAAGUACUUCACGCCCUUUAAAAAGGCAGAAUUUAUCUGGGCACACAAUUUGGUAUUUGGGAUACCAAAACAGAGGCUACCGUUAUCCAAGGCUUCAGUUGCUGAAACUUGUGGAUCAGAACAUUUCCCGCUAAUACUGAGACAUGUAUUCAAGCCAACCGAAGUAGGUUCUGUGAUAAAACUGCAAAGCCAUAAAAUACCACGGAGGAAAAAAAAGAAAACAUAAGUAAAUAAAUAAAAUAAAACAGCAUUAGUAAGAUAAAUUAAAACUUCUGAACAGAAUACAAAUACAAAAGUUGGAUGGUCCAAGUAUUUGGACACUACAGUAGACCUAUCUUCAUACUAGCAGGUUUUUUCAUAUUACUGAAGUAUUUCUCCCAGUAGGAUUUUGACAUUGAAACAUUUAAGUUUCAAAGUUCUUUCAGUGGAUCUUUUGUAACCAAAAUACCAAGUAUGAAAUGUUGA
rnacentral:lncRNA from 1 species